UCCCCUGUAGCUCAAUGGUAGAGCGCUCGCCUGUUAAGCGAAUGGUUCGUGGUUCGAGUCCACGCGGGGGAGCCA
rnacentral:tRNA from 1 species